rnacentral:miRNA from 1 species
UUUUAUGAUCGAGGAAGCAGAUGU